rnacentral:rRNA from 1 species
UCCUACGGGAGGCAGCAGUGGGGAAUAUUGCACAAUGGAGGAAACUCUGAUGCAGCCAUGCCGCGUGUGUGAAGAAGGCCCGAGGGUUGUAAAGCACUUUUAGUGAGGAGGAAAGGUUAGUAGUUAAUACCUGCUAGCUGUGACGUUACUCACAGAAAAAGCACCGGCUAACUCUGUGCCAGCAGCCGCGGUA